CAUGCAAGUCGAGCGGCAGCGCGGGGCAACCUGGCGGCGAGCGGCGAACGGGUGAGUAAUGCAUCGGAACAUGUCCAUGUCGUGGGGGAUAGCCCGGCGAAAGCCGGAUUAAUACCGCAUACGCCCGAGAGGGGAAAGCCGGGGACCGCAAGGCCUGGCGCGAUUGGGUUGGCCGAUGUCCGAUUAGCUAGUUGGCGGGGUAAGAGCCCACCAAGGCGAUGAUCGGUAGCUGGUCUGAGAGGAUGAUCAGCCACACUGGGACUGAGACACGGCCCAGACUCCUACGGAAGGCAGCAGUGGGGAAUUUUGGACAAUGGGGGCAACCCUGAUCCAGCCAUUCCGCGUGAGUGAAGAAGGCCUUCGGGUUGUAAAGCUCUUUUGUCCGGAACGAAACGGUUAGUUCUAAUACGACUGACUACUGACGGUACCGGAAGAAUAAGCACCGGCUAACUACGUGCCAGCAGCCGCGGUAAUACGUAGGGUGCGAGCGUUAAUCGGAAUUACUGGGCGUAAAGCGUGCGCAGGCGGUUUUGUAAGCCAGAUGUGAAAUCCCCGGGCUUA
rnacentral:rRNA from 1 species